rnacentral:rRNA from 1 species
CCUACGGGGUGCAGCAGUGGGGGAUAUUGCACAAUGGGGGAAACCCUGAUGCAGCGACGCCGCGUGGGUGAAGAAGCGCCUCGGCGCGUAAAGUCCUGUCAGCAGGGAAGAAAAGGACGGUACCUGAAGAAGAAGCCCCGGCUAACUACGGGCCAGCAGCCGCGGUAAGACGUAGGGGGCAAGCGUUAUCCGGAGUCACUGGGUGUAAAGGGGGCGCAGACGGCGAUGCAAGCCAGGAGUGAAAGCCCGGGGCCCAACCCCGGGACUGCUCUUGGAACGGCGUGGCUCGAGUGCAGGAGGGGCAGGCGGCAUUCCUGGUGUGGCGGUGCAAUGCGU